GGACUACUGGGGUAUCUAAUCCUGUUCGCUCCCCAUGCUUUCGCUCCUCAGCGUCAGUAACAGCCCAGAGACCUGCCUUCGCCAUCGGUGUUCCUCCUGAUAUCUGCGCAUUUCACCGCUACACCAGGAAUUCCAGUCUCCCCUACUGCACUCAAGUCUGCCCGUACCCACUGCACACCCGGGGUUAAGCCCCGGGCUUUCACAGCAGACGCGACAAACCGCCUACGAGCUCUUUACGCCCAAUAAUUCCGGACAACGCUUGCGCCCUACGUAUUACCGCGGCGGCUGGCAC
rnacentral:rRNA from 1 species